GCGCCCGGCCAGCGGCGUCAACGCGGCCGGAACGCCGAGGCGGAGCAGGACCAAUUCCAAGAAGUAGCAUUUCAGGAUCAAAAGGCCCUUCCCGAGGCAGGGCCAUGCUCACGUUCAUGGCCUCUGACAGCGAGGAAGACGUGUGUGACGAGCGUACAUCCCUGAUGUCAGCCGAGAGCCCCACGGCGCGUUCCUGCCAGGAGGGCCAGCAGGGCCCAGAGGAUGGAGACAACGCUGCCCAGUGGGUAGGUUCCUAGCAGUUAGGCCUUGAAACAGCCCCAUGGGGGCCUCCCUGGUGACCUAGGGGUUAAGUCUCAGCAGUACCAUUACUUCGGCCUGAGUUCAAUGCCUGGCCAGGGAGCUACCCACA